rnacentral:lncRNA from 1 species
ACGUUUAGCGUUUCAUGCGACUGUAUGUAAUUGACCUAAUAUGUGUUUAAAUUACAAGAGACAGGACUUUGGAUCAAAUCAGCGCAGCAUCCAUCAGGACAAUCAGUUUCACCGCCUUGCCAGUCCACUACCCACAAUUCCAGUGCUGCACUGGGACUUUCCUGAUGAAAGAAUGUGAGUAUGCGGUUGUCUAUUAAGAUAUGUAAAUUUGUAAUCUCUCAAAGCCCGCU